rnacentral:rRNA from 1 species
AGAGUUUGAUCAUGGCUCAGGAUGAACGAUAGCGGCAGGCCUAAUACAUGCAAGACGAACGGUAAGAUUUUUAGCAAUAAGAGUCCUAGAGUGUCGUAAGGGUGCGUAACUCGUAUGCAAUCUGCCCUGUACAGGAGGAUAGCUCCCCGAAAGGGGAAUUAAUACUCCGUAAGAUCUUGAAGAGGCAUCUUUUUGGGAUUAAAGCUGAGGCGGUACAGGAUGAGCAUGCGCAUGAUUAGUUAGUUGGCGGGGUAACGGCCCACCAAGACGAUGAUCAUUAGGGGAACUGAGAGGUUGAUCCCCCACACUGGCACUGAGACACGGCCCAGACUCCUACGGGAGGCAGCAGUGGGGAAUUUUGGACAAUGGGCGCAAGCCUGAUCCAGCCAUGCCGCGUGCAGGAUGAAGGCCUUCGGGUUGUAAACUGCUUUUGUACGGAACGAAAAAGCUCUCUCUAAUACAGGGGGUGAAUGACGGUACCGUAAGAAUAAGCACCGGCUAACUACGUGCCAGCAGCCGCGGUAAUACGUAGGGUGCAAGCGUUAAUCGGAAUUACUGGGCGUAAAGCGUGCGCAGGCGGUUAUGUAAGACAGAGGUGAAAUCCCCGGGCUCAACCUGGGAACUGCCUUUGUGACUGCAUAGCUGGAGUGCGGCAGAGGGGGAUGGAAUUCCGCGUGUAGCAGUGAAAUGCGUAGAUAUGCGGAGGAACACCGAUGGCGAAAGCAAUCCCCUGGGCCUGCACUGACGCUCAUGCACGAAAGCGUGGGGAGCAAACAGGAUUAGAUACCCUGGUAGU